UAAUAAUACCUUUUGAAUAUUUGGUAAACGUCAUCUAAAUUCAUCAUUAACAUUCAGCAAAUUGAUCAGAAAUUAGUCCGACAAAUUGCAGCGUGCGAACAGUCUCUCUCGCAUUUGUUAUCUUUAAUCCCCCGGCAUAAAACUUUACCAUUGGCCAGGGCCGUAGCGAAGAAGCAGGUUGGGGGGGGGGGGUAGUAUCCCAUUUGCCGACAUUCGCUAUGUCUAUGAUAAUGCAUUCAAAAAGCAUUCAACCGUAUUAGAAAAAAUAUUUCACUGUUCAAAGCAGCGAUAUCUAGCUGAUGUCACGAUGCAUGUAUAAUAAUAUAGCUGGAACUGCAAAUCUGACAUUCAGCUGGUUUUGAGGUUGAACGGUACUUUUGCACGCUGCGAUUUGUCGUCUACGAAGAUUCUUAAAGCAAAAACAUUGUGAACUACGGUCUACGGCUACCAGCGACAGGUAAUUUAACUGAAUAAGAUCUAUAACAGGUAAUUUAACUAAAUAGUAAAUAGAUCUUUCACUGUAAGCGUACAAAUAUCUUCUUAAAUCAUGAUUAUCAUGCUUCACUAUACAUAACUCGGCAAUAACAGCGCAAAAAAGAUGCAUGGAUAAAUUGUAUAGUCGAACGUGGGCAGCCAUGUUGUAUUGAUGACAUGUCUGAAAAUUUCACCGGUUUAUCAAAAGGUCGUUGCCAGAUUUCAUGUUUGCGGGCUUCUUUGUAUCAUGCAACCAUACCUGAAAAAUAGAACCACGCUUUGAUGUUUUGAGCGAAGGCCCUUCGUCUGAGAGUUAUAUAUUAAUAGAAACUUCCAGACGAAGCCGCUGGCUGAACGUUCCAUCACACGUCAUCACUAUAUGCAUGACUUCUUAUUCACUUAGCGAUGUCAAUGGCACGCUCAGUGUAAAAAUAGAAAUAUAACCAAUUCUACCUAAUUUAGGCCAUAUAAAAUAAAUUUCUUGAUUCUCAUCACCGC